rnacentral:rRNA from 1 species
AGGGAAUCUUCCGCAAUGGGCGAAAGCCUGACGGAGCAACGCCGCGUGAGUGAUGAAGGUCUUCGGAUCGUAAAACUCUGUUAUUAGGGAAGAACAUAUGUGUAAGUAACUGUGCACAUCUUGACGGUACCUAAUCAGAAAGCCACGGCUAACUACGUGCCAGCAGCCGCGGUAAUACGUAGGUGGCAAGCGUUAUCCGGAAUUAUUGGGCGUAAAGCGCGCGUAGGCGGUUUUUUAAGUCUGAUGUGAAAGCCCACGGCUCAACCGUGGAGGGUCAUUGGAAACUGGAAAACUUGAGUGCAGAAGAGGAAAGUGGAAUUCCAUGUGUAGCGGUGAAAUGCGCGGAGAUAUGGAGGAACACCAGUGGCGAAGGCGACUUUCUGGUCUGUAACUGACGCUGAUGUGCGAAAGCGUGGGGAUCAAACAGGAUUAGAUACCCUGGUAGUCCACGCCGUAAACGAUGAGUGCUAAGUGUUAGGGGGUUUCCGCCCCUUAGUGCUGCAGCUAACGCAUUAAGCACUCCGCCUGGGGAGUACGACCGCAAGGUUG